GCAAUGGAGGUAAUUUAAAGAUUGGAGUCCCUGAGAACUAUGAUGGUAUUUUCCCAUGGUACCUUGCCAAGCUCCAUGAUCUGCCCCUGACCUACACAGACCUGGUGGUGAGCGGGGACGAGGAGGGCACCUUUGGGGUGGAAGGGGGCAUGCUUUACGCCGUCAAGCCACUGGACAGGGAGAGGCAGCCAUCUUAUUCCCUACAGGUGUCCUUCACCACAGCAGUGAGCACACAGAGCUUCACAGUGGAGGUGUGUGUCAUCGACAAGAACGACAACGUGCCGCAGUUCAUCGAGGAGAGCAUGCGCGGAAGUGUGCAGCUGGGUCUGCUGAAAGGUGUGUGUGUGUGCAUGUGUACAUGCACGUGUGUGUGACCGUGUUUAUGUGCACGUGUGUGAAUAUAUGUGUGUGUGUGUAUCCUUGGGUUAAUGUCUCUGUGUGUGGUGGGGAGAUUCCUGA
rnacentral:lncRNA from 1 species